GCUAAACAUUGUCUCUUGUGGGAAAUCAUUAAUAUGUUCUUAAACACAUUUUUAUCAAAUAGGACAAGAUCUGAGGCGCUGAAACAAAUUCUAAGUGUAUACAUAACGUCAUCUAACAGUUUUUAAUGACCACGUUCCUGAGGAGCUCGCAGAGUGACAAAUGACUUUUAUACAAACAUUUGGUUCUGGCUUCACAUUUUGCAAGCAGCUUUGGAGGAAAUGUUGAUUCAGGAACGCAGAAGAGCCGGGUGACCCAAAUCAGCUGGGAAUGAGGAAAAUCCUGUUAAAUGACUGGACCAGAGAACAAGAUGUGCCUGAGCAGCUCCAGAUGUGAUCCAAGGAUUAAAUGAGAGGGGAUGUGAAAUUGCUCUGUUACCCUGUCUCCCAAAUGUAAGCUGAACAAGCAAUUCUAAACAAUAGAAACUGUGAUGACAGAAGGCCUGGCGGGAGGCUGAUUGAAAUGCACUGUUCUGAAGCAGAUCUUCACUGCCAUUAAAUAAGAUAUUCAAUCAUUG
rnacentral:lncRNA from 1 species